UCAAAAUUACGCUACACAUAACAGUAGCUGAUACUACAGUUCUGAUGAAACAAAAGUAGCAACAGAUCUUUUAUUUUGUGUUGUGAUGUACAUCCGAGAGAAACAGAUUAACGAAAUAGAAAAAAUGUAGGGUGAGGACUUGUUUCUGUCCAUCGGAUCUUGAUUGGAUGGCGGAUCUGAAUGUGAGCUUGCAGCUGACUUCAAGAAAGUGACAGACAGCAUGCUUCAUGAAGUGAGGAAAUCAAUGGAGACACACCGCUUACCUGUUGUGGAGCUGUCGACACGCGGAGGCUGCAAGUUUGAGUCAGCGAUCCACUGUCCGCACAUGAAGUCACUGAAGGCAAAACACCACCAGGUCUUGUGAAAGCAAUGGUCCGGAUUGAGUACAUGGAACAGAGAAUGACAUUCGAGAGCUUCAAGGAGAGUUUUGAGAGAAACAAAGCUGGCUUCAGUGAAAUGUAACUUAGCAGUGAAAGAGUGACCUCUGAGCGCUCACGUUUUCCUCUGGGAAGGUUUUGUGGCAGUGGCUUGUUCUGGGGUGAGAGGGCCUGUAUUUUUCAUAAACCCCAAACACGGCCCCCUACAGCUGUGAAUCCAUUAUUCAGACCGGUCUGAGGGAGAGGGGACUGACAAAAACACGACUGCCCGGUCCGAAUUGCACCAUAAUCACUGUAAUUUUAUCCAUCACAUCUCUAUGAUGAAAAUGACACAGCAGCAGCAUUUCAUCAAAAGUGUUUUAAUGGGAAAUAUUGUCUUUAAGGCACUCGAGAAGAUUGACGUUCCCAUUUCAAAGACUGUUGAUAAUGAUUUUAUGCACAGCCGAGGACACAACUGACCCCAGGACACAAAUUAAUGACAUGAGCCGAGAUGAAAGAAUAUGAAUCUGUCUGAAACAGGAAAUCCUUUUGGUGACUGAUCCUUGUCUCAAGUACAAUCACUGAUAACUACUCAUCGUGAGAUUCCUGGACCCCAUCGUAUGUCAAAACCCCCCGAAAAAACUCGAGAUGUUUGAUAUGUCAACCAGAUUGAAGCUUGAAGAGAGGAAGGAGAGAUGGUGGAAAAUGAGAGCUCCCACUGCGUAAUUACCGCUGCGUUUAUUGCGAACUGAUCACUGCGUAAUCCCUGUGAAAAUAAAGAGCACUGCGGCAUCACUGAACACUUCACUAACUGCAUCGUUAGAGGAAAUCAAAAAGUGUGCAGAGCAGCAGAAGACGAGAAAAAUCACUCCUGCUUCCACAGCAGAUCUCUGUCUUCAUCAGUGUUGCUGAUGCUCUCGCUGGACCAAACCAAGCUUUACACACAGAAGACACGCACUGCAUGACCUCUGAUGACCUUUCGUCUGAUGCUGAGGUCAUCUGAGAUCAUGUCCGGAUAACAGUGAUGAACCCAUAUUACAGACAGGCUCAUCACGCUGAUAAAUGUCUUCCAAAAACCAAAAUAUUAAUACUAUUUAUUAGGAUUAUAGUUUUACAAUAUGAAUUGUUUUUAAAUAUUGCAUAAAAAUUGACCCUAGCAACAUCAACUUCAUAUCAGCAUCAACCACCUUGCUUUGAAAACCACUUUGAUGCCAAAUGUAUCAACACACAUAUAACUCUCAGUGUAAGACAACCUGAAAAAAGUUUGUGUGUGAAAUCUAGAUAUUGGUGCCACAGUGCCUCCUACUGGUCAGACAGUUGUGUGUCGUGUCAUCAGAGCUCAUGUUCAUGCAGGUGUUUUUCUCUGCCUCAAGGUGGUUUAAUUUGACUAAGAUGAACGAUUUUUCUAUAUUUUCUUUCAGAAUCCUUUCUGAAAGAAGUGUAAGCCCUUACAUUAUUGUUGACGUGACAAGUCAAGCAGUGACUUACUUCCAUCUAAACCAUUUGUCUAAUUGUUGUGAAUUAUGUAUGCCAUUUCAAUGAUUUCAAAAGAGAGACUACACUGGGUAUUUGUACUUCGUCACGCAACAAGACUAUUUAAGCAAACUGCAAAAAAGCUCACAGGGUUGUUAGAAAUGGUGACACGUGUCAGCAUCAAAAAUAUACAUUUUCCUUUGAAUUGUUACUUAAUUUUGAUGUUUAAAAAUCUAUCCCUGUCUGUAUAUCUAUUUAUAUUUUAUA